GCUGGUAUAGCUCAUAUGGUAGAGCAUGAGACUCAUAAUCUCAGGGACGUAGGUUUGAGCUCCAUGUUCGGCA